AAAGAGUUUGAUCAUGGCUCAGAUUGAACGCUGGCGGCAGGCCUAACACAUGCAAGUCGGACGGUAGCACAGAGAGCUUGCUCCUGGGUGACGAGUGGCGGACGGGUGAGUAAUGUCUGGGGAUCUGCCCGAUAGAGGGGGAUAACCACUGGAAACGGUGGCUAAUACCGCAUAACGUCGCAAGACCAAAGAGGGGGACCUUCGGGCCUCUCACUAUCGGAUGAACCCAGAUGGGAUUAGCUAGUAGGCGGGGUAAUGGCCCACCUAGGCGACGAUCCCUAGCUGGUCUGAGAGGAUGACCAGCCACACUGGAACUGAGACACGGUCCAGACUCCUACGGGAGGCAGCAGUGGGGAAUAUUGCACAAUGGGCGCAAGCCUGAUGCAGCCAUGCCGCGUGUAUGAAGAAGGCCUUCGGGUUGUAAAGUACUUUCAGCGGGGAGGAAGGCGGUUAUG
rnacentral:rRNA from 1 species